UACAGAGGUCCCGAGCGUUGUUCGGAUUCACUGGGCGUAAAGGGUGCGUAGGCGGCCGGGCAAGUCCGGUGUGAAAUCUCGGAGCUUAACUCCGAAACUGCAUUGGAUACUUUCCGGCUGGAGGUUGGGAGGGGGGACUGGAAUUCUCGGUGUAGCAGUGAAAUGCGUAGAUAUCGAGAGGAACACCAGUGGCGAAGGCGAGUCCCUGGACCAAUCCUGACGCUGAGGCACGAAAGCCAGGGGAGCAAACGGG
rnacentral:rRNA from 1 species